GGCACAAAUGUGAAGUAGAGUAGAUUAGUAAGAUCAGCUGACCCUACUCAUCUACUCUACUCAAAACUUGAGCUC
rfam:Haemonchus contortus, ISE/inbred ISE, WGS project CAVP01000000 data, contig: Hcontortus_32571